GAUCCGGUAGCCUAGUGGUUAGAGUCCGCCUCGGAUGCGGGAGGUCGUGAGUUCGAACCCGAGUCGAAUCA